UUUCGGGCAGGUUAGAUGCCUGCCCCACAUGCCAACCCCCAAGCAGAGAGACUGGAGUAUGUUACCUCGGAGUUAAAGUCUAACUCCUCUGCAGCACGGUGAGGUUCCAGAAUCACUCUCCUUGCAGUCAUAAAGCUAGGAAGUGCAAUCACCAGGCAUGUGGUCCUGACCUCAGUCUGAGGAUCCUUGGCCUAGAGUCAAGCAGUCGCUGCAGUCACCGAAACAGCCAAAUUAACUGUCUGCUUAGCCAUGGAUUAAAAUUCAUCCACAGAUCCAAGACAAACUGGUUUCUACAUACAUUUGAUGCAACUAAGUUUUAUUAUUUGUCUCCUUAUGGAAGAAUGCAGAAGACGUGCUCAGCUAUAUUGAUCUCUGAGGAAAUGUGGAUGAGUUCCUAUUUGCUCAACAUCUCAGUUCAGCCACUUUCUCUGAGUUUCUAGAAUGCAUUCAACAUCUCCUUGACUGCAGACACUGAGACACAUACAUACAAACCUCUGCAAGCAAGUCCAAACCAUGGAGUCUUAAUUCUGGAUCUAGACUGUACUUCCUCUUGUCAUAAAGAGAUCUUUCACUCCUCUCUCAUCAUUCACUCCCUCCCCACAUACGUUACUGUUUUUUGUCUGAGCCCAUUCAACCCUCUGCUUUGGGGAAAUAGUGAAUAAUCAAAUUAAGACAUUUUUCUUUUUCAAAAUGUAUGUUUUUGUUGAUUUGAUUUACAGUAUGAGCACAAAGAGCAGCUGGAUUGGCUUCAGUGAGGCAGAAGUAUCUUGGCAGCUGGGAAUGGUUUAAAAUACCAUUGCUGUGACAACGUGGUCAGUUCAUGACAUAGGAUUGCUGCUGUACCUAGUCUGUGAAGGUAAAAAGCAGAAAGACAGUAUCACUGGCGCCUUCACCUGUUGGCUUUGAGGACCAGCUCUAACUAGAAUCCAGCUGUCAGAAACAGCCUUUCAGCAGAGAGCAGACAAAAGCAAAAUUGCAUCCACAGUCCUACCUGGCAAGCUUUACAGCUGAGACCCAGCAAACCGUCGUUACUGGACAAAGCUCUCCUUCUAGUGAAUAUAUGGGCAUGGGACUGAUACGCUGGCUCUUGGCAUAGUGCCUUUUCAGCCAUAAUCUCCCUUCCUGCUCCGCUACACCCCUAAAUGCAUUUACUUUAAUGGUUUCUCUCAUUUUUUCUUUCUCCUCAGUCCUACAAGCUGGUGAGCUGGUACAAGAGAUGCUGUCAUGAGAUCUACUUUUUUUUUUUUUUUUUUUUUUUUCCCCUCCUUUUAACAUCAAAUUUCCCUGUGUAUUAAAAUACAAAUCCAUUAGGUUCAUAUCCAUGUGGUCAAUCUUCUUUCCAAGAUGGUUCCUGACUGACCCACAAUACAAUUCCUGAUAGUGAUGGUGAUUGGCAUAAAGCUCAUCCAACCACAGUAACUCUUGCACAGAAUAUAGGCUCUGUCCUGUCCUUCGUGACCCCUUAUGCAUUUCAGCUUUAAAUAUAAGUUUAGACUAGCACUUUUUAAAAAUCUGUUCUUAUUUUAAACUAAUCUCUGCCAUGAUUGUUAAAAUUGGAAGAUAAAAGCACACAAGAUGUCAGGUAAAAUUUAAAAUGAACAAGUUGUGCAAAUAUGUAAUGCACAGUAGACAAGAGACAGCUCAGAAAACCUGGCAUAGAGGCACCAGCUUUAAUUAGCUGUACCAAUUUAUGUUGUUCAAGAAUAUGGCCUGAUUCUUAAGAAAAUGUUUUGGAUGUGUUAGAAAAAUUGGGUGUAUAAAUUAUAGCUGCCCUUAUGACACUUUAACUUGAACGUCCAGUACUUCAUUCAGUCAACUACAAUAGGUCUCACUGUCCUUGGCAGAAUUACAGAGGUAAUAUUUUUUAACAUGGAUGAGCAGCUCUUGAACAAUUUCUCCAACGUAUUAAGCAUGAACAAGCUUUUCUUCAACAUCAGGUGUGCAUGUCUUCUUUCUGCAUUCAUUUUUCAACAACACACAUAUUUAUUGUGGCCAUUACAGGGAGGGAAACUUCCCUUCCAAUAAAUGUUUUCUUCUCCUCCAUCCCUUUUAUGGGAACACCAUGAACGGAUGGAAUGAUCUUGUUUCAUAAGCCUGUCUUAUUUUGUUUAUAUAAUCAAAGUAAAUAUUCACUAUUGUUAAAGUAUAUUGCUGUGAAUUCUUUGUAGCUCACAAAUGAAGUUGCAGGCAAAAAUGAAGACAGGCUAAGAUAGAUACUCCACUAAAGACUUGAUUUUGCAGAUUCCUAUUGAUAAGAAACCUCACUAGUUUAAAGGGAGCUUACAGAACUCACAAAAUUGCAAGCUGAGCUAAAACACAAAAGUAGAAAAAGUUUGGGGGCCUUGAAAUAUCCUCUACUGACAGCUGGACAUAAAGGAUUUGUAAACUGAUGGAUUAAGAUGUAAGUAUCUUCCCCCUGUACUUGGCCCUGAUGAGGCCGCACCUCAAGUGCUGUGUUCAGUUCUGGGCCCCUCACUACCA